rnacentral:lncRNA from 1 species
GUUCUUUCCAGAAGUCAUUGUUGCAAUCAGGUCGGAUCAUGACCUUUACUAGGAAGGUAUCUUUGUACCAUCGAAAGUCUGCUAGGUCUUUGCAGGUGAGAUUGUUGAGGAUUUCUAAGCUCCUAUCUUGGAAUAAUUUGGGUUCUCCUAUAAAAUGUCUAUCUAUGUGGUAUAGGAGAGUGGCACAAGCGUCUUCUUUUGCAACUUNNN